rnacentral:rRNA from 1 species
AUGUUCCAGUGUAGGUUCUCGAUGCGCAUUUGGAAUGCGGUGAGAUGUUGGCUUGACACGCCGGAGCUCAACACCGCCGACUGGGCUGGAAUCUCUUCGGUCCAUGAGUGGUGGACUAGAGCGGUCCUUGGUCGCGGACAUCGAAGGAAGGCGGUCUCUUCGCUUAUAAUGCUAGUAUUUUGGGAGGUUUGGAAAGAGAGAAACGCGAGGAUGUUCUAAAAGAAAUCCUCAAUGCCUACCACGGUGAUAGAGGGCAUCAAGGUGGAGGCCAGGAAUUGGGUUUUGGCCGGGGCUAAACACUUGGGAUCCUUGAUGCCGUGA